GAUGAACGCUGGCGGCGUGCCUAAUACAUGCAAGUCGAGCGAACGGACGAGAAGCUUGCUUCUCUGAUGUUAGCGGCGGACGGGUGAGUAACACGUGGAUAACCUACCUAUAAGACUGGGAUAACUUCGGGAAACCGGAGCUAAUACCGGAUAAUAUUUUGAACCGCAUGGUUCAAAAGUGAAAGACGGUCUUGCUGUCACUUAUAGAUGGAUCCGCGCUGCAUUAGCUAGUUGGUAAGGUGACGGCUUACCAAGGCAACGAUGCAUAGCCGACCUGAGAGGGUGAUCGGCCACACUGGAACUGAGACACGGUCCAGACUCCUACGGGAGGCAGCAGUAGGGAAUCUUCCGCAAUGGGCGAAAGCCUGACGGAGCAACGCCGCGUGAGUGAUGAAGGUCUUCGGAUCGUAAAACUCUGUUAUUAGGGAAGAACAUAUGUGUAAGUAACUGUGCACAUCUUGACGGUACCUAAUCAGAAAACCACGGCUAACUACGUG
rnacentral:rRNA from 1 species